UCCUCGGUGGUUUAGUCGGAUAGAGCGCCUGCCAUGUAAGCAGGAAGUCCCGGGUUCGAGUCCCGGUCGGGGCA